rnacentral:rRNA from 1 species
AUAAUAAAAAGGUCUAGCCUGCCCAGUGACUCUGUUCAACGGCCGCGGUAUCCUAACCGUGCGAAGGUAGCGUAAUCACUUGUUCUUUAAAUGAGGACUAGUAUGAAUGGCAUCACGAGGGUUUUACUGUCUCCUCCCUCUAAUCAGUGAAACUAAUUUCCCCGUGAAGAAGCGGGGAUAAGCCUAUAAGACGAGAAGACCCUAUGGAGCUUUAAACACACAACAAUUGCCCUACUCCCCCCCAUGAAUCUCCGGAGAAACCACCUACCCGGGCAUUUUGAUUGCAAGUUUUAGGUUGGGGUGACCGCGGAGUAGAAAUUAACCUCCACAGCGAAUGGGACUUUUUCCCUAAACCCAGGGCUACGACCCUAAGAAUCAAUAAAUUGACACCCAUUGACCCAAUUUUUUUGACCAACGAACCAAGUUACCCUAGGGAUAACAGCGCAAUCCACUUCAAGAGCUCCUAUCGACAAGUGGGUUUACGACCUCGAUGUUGGAUCAGGGUACCCCAGUGGUGCAGCCGCUGCUAACGGUUCGUUUGUUCAACGAUUAA